rnacentral:lncRNA from 1 species
AAAGAAAUUAUUUUUUAUAAUAAUAAAUAGAAUAAUGGAUAAAAUUAUAAAAAUCAAACAAUUUUUAGUAAUAUGUGUGACUGCGUUUCAGUGUUUAUCUGACUCGUUUACUCAGUGAACAUCACAUUAUUUCUGCGUCAUGGAAGAGAAAAAAUGAGUUUUUGCAGGGAAUAACCAAAACUGCAGCAAACUUUUAAAAUCCAUAUGUUUCUUCUGGAUUUUGAAACCGCUUUAACGGAAAUUCCAUUUUUCAUAUCCUACCUUAACGAGCGUUUUCGCGGAUAGCUCGCUGAUUGGAAUUUCGCAUGUAGAUGUAAAAAGUAAUUAUUGCUGCGGUCGAUUGGUGGGAACGUUGUAACCCGAGUCGCGUGGUGUUUGCAAUCAGGGCUAACAUGCCACGAAGAGGUUAGCGUUGUCAGUUGCUAGUAAACACGUUGUUUAGCUAUCCAGCCGAACGCGUACAUUGAGCAUCCAGUUUAGAAGUGAAUGCAUUCCCGAUUGAAGUUGAAUGAUCUUGAUAUUGGAAAUAAAUUUCUAUUAAAGUAGAAUUUAUUCAACUUCUGAUUAAAAAGAUAAAAUAUAUUAACAUACUGCAAUAAGAUAUUAUGAUGGAAAAUACACAAUUUUGAAUUUAUUUAAACUUGCAUCAUUACGUGUUAGCGGAGAGAACAAUUUGUUAUUGAUUGUGAGAAUUAUUAUUUUCGACGUAAUCUUGCGUGCAUGGUUCAAGUCACCUUCAAGGAUUGUGAAGAUAAUUUUAUCGAAUCGAAAAAAGCGAUAAUUUGUAAAAAUAUAUUAUACGCGUUUUCAAUAGCACUAAUAACGCAUAUUUUGUCAUUACUAAAACGGGCAUUCUAGUCAAAAUGGCAAUGUGCCAAGUAAGCGGUGUUAGUGGGAUCCGUGGCUUGAGCUCGACGCCAAAUACAUCGGACUGCAAAAACGGUUGAUUUAUUAUGACCAGUAGUUCAGGAUGCGCGGUUUUGCAGAACCUCACGUAUAAUCGCGUUCGGCCUGAUAAUUUGCCUGCGACAGAAUAUCUCGGAGUGUCGAAAAUGGACAUAAAUAGGGCUAUUAUUCUCCAUUUAUUACUGACACAUGAAAGUUUUAGCUCAUUUAAUACAUGAAUCAUCUCCUUUUCAAGUUCUCAAUCUUUUCCAUUAAUUUUAAAGCUAUUUAAGAGUUCAGAGUCCAGAGAAUGCACUUUCUAUUACUUUUAUGAGAAAGGUGAUCUAUAAGAUUUCGUGUCAAAAUUGUGAUAAAUCUUUUAUGUGGGUCAAAUUGGUAGACAAGUAAAAAUGCGAAUUACAAAACAUUGCAAGCACAUUCGCAACAACAGUUCUGCCUAUUCUGUGAGUACUGACUACAGGAUCCACUAUGACUUCGAAUGGGAUAACGUUAAAAUAUUAGAUCAAGAAAGAUACUAUUACAAGUAUCUCACUUUUAAGGUUUUGCAUAUCAAACAACAAACGUAAAUGAUUUAAAUUUGUAGUACCAAAUGUUUAUAUCACGCAUACUUUUCAGCCUUUAAUAAAACACAAUAUCGUUUUGUUCUUAUUGUUUUGCUUUCUACAAUUACUUUAUUUGACCUACAAUGCUGAUCUUGUCACAUUUAUUUACAUUAUUUGUCUCUAAUCUUUUUUAAGAAAGUUUUAUAAUUUCAAGUCCUAAUUAUGUUUGUUACACAUUUUUUUAUUAUCUUUGACUAUGACUACUUAUUUGCAUUUGUAGUUAACACGUGUUCUUUGAUACUUGCUGAUUCUGAGGUGAAUCCGUUUCUAUCCUUUUCUGUUUUUUUUUUACAUCCAGCAUAAUUUUUUUUCCUACAUAUUCAAUUAUAUUACAGUUGAAACUUUGUCCAAUUUAUCAAUUUAUGCUGUCACGUAACUAUCAGCCCGUAUGAUUUGAUAUCUCUCGGCUAGAGAACACUUCUCUUCAAGUCAGCAAUACUAUAUCCAUGCAUCCGUAUUCGAAGUGUGAAUCUGUAUUUGCUGAAGACAGCUUGAAAAGAAAGAACCGAAAGGUUCUAUAUAGUACUUCUAACUUUUAAUAAACUGUGUUUUUUAUUUUAGCGCAUCAUUAAGCGCGCCUGACUCGUAUUUGCCGUUUAGUUACACUUGUUGUAAUUUAGCUACUUAACAAAUAAUGAAUAUUUGUCAAACUAAUUAAAGUGUCUCUUUCUUCCAUUCGCAAUUUAAAUUGGUCAUAAGACAGGACAUUGAUAAUAAAUUAUAACGCGAAAAAGAAGAUCAUAAUUUGCCGAGAGGUUUUAGAAUCCGUUAUUACAUUUCGAAAAUUCCUCGAAGCUGCCGAACUUGACGUUGCACGCUACUUCAUUUGCAUAAUAGAAGCAGACCCUAUAUCGAGAGCAGACAGAUCUGCGUAGGUAAUGUAGACAACAAACAGAAAUCGAUCCAUUAAGAGUACACGCUGCUGUAAAUGAUCGAUUCGCGGAGUGAACUUAGGCUAACACGAUCCUUGGCAGAAUCUGCUUCAGACCAGACUGCCGCCGUUUUCAUUUGGUACCACGUCUUGUCGCUCUACCGAUGCCGUUCGACAGCUACCGAAUAUUCAAGGCCAUUUUGGAGAGAUACCGACAUAUUGCGGCGUGAUUUAUGAUCGAGGCAGUCCACGAAAGGCGAAGGUAGUGGCGAUCGAUUCACCUCGAGUUUGGCCGACAGCAUCGGCGGCGGACCAACUAUUCCGCGGAAUCCACCAUGUCGGGGCAUCUUUCCCAAUACAACCUCACUUCCUCUUUUCUCACAUUCUUUCGCUCGUUAUUCCACAACACAAGACAUCCAUUUACGACCGACAUCUUUUCUGAUCUCUGCCUGCCUGCCGUUCGCUGAAUGGUAGCGAGCGAUAUUAAAUCGUUCGUCAUUACUGUAAUUUUGGCGGAAAUAUGAUAAGCAUUUUUUUGUUAAUAGAAUUUUGAGCAUUUUAAUCAAAACUUUUUUUACGAAUAACUGCAGUAUUUAUGCCGUGUGGGGAUUUACGCCACAGAAGUAAGAAAAGAUAGAAGAAAUAAAGCUUGGUUAAUUAUACGGAAAGAUUGUAUGCACGAUUUACAUCAAGAGAAGUCCUCGAGUGGCGUUAAUUCUCUACGAGCUAUAAACUAACGCGACAUCUACAAAGCAUUUAUCGGCCUGAUCACUGAAGUGUACUAUCAAGUUAUUUGAAAUGGAACUAACAUCGCUGCAGAGAAAUACGGAUAACGAGAUUCGAAGAUGCACAGCAUUGCCUCGUACAGUCGCAACAUAACUUUUAGUUUAACUAUGAAAGUAUUUAAAAAAAAAACUUAAAAA